rnacentral:pre_miRNA from 1 species
UAUAUACUCCCUCCGUCCUAAAAUUCUUAUCUUAGAUUUUGUCAAGAUAUGAAUGUACCUAGUCACGUUUUGGUAUUUAGAUACAUCCAUUUCAAGUGAAACCUAAGACAAGAAUUUUGGGACGGAGGAAGUACCAU